UAGGGAAUCUUCCACAAUGGGCGCAAGCCUGAUGGAGCAACACCGCGUGAGUGAAGAAGGGUUUCGGCUCGUAAAGCUCUGUUGUUGGAGAAGAACGUGCGUGAGAGUAACUGUUCACGCCGUGACGGUAGCACAACAGAAAGUCACGGCUAACUACGUGCCACGAUCCGCGGUAAUACGUAGGUGGCAAGCGUUAUCCGGAUUUAUUGGGCGUAAAGCGAGCGCAGGCGGUUGCUUAGGUCUGAUGUGAAAGCCUUCGGCUUAACCGAAGAAGUGCAUCGGAAACCGGGCGACUUGAGUGCAGAAGAGGACAGUGGAACUCCAUGUGUAGCGGUGGAAUGCGUAGAUAUAUGGAAGAACACCAGUGGCGAAGGCGGCUGUCUGGUCUGCAACUGACGCUGAGGCUCGAAAGCAUGGGUAGCGAACAGG
rnacentral:rRNA from 1 species